rnacentral:rRNA from 1 species
GACGGAAGGUGCAAGCGUUGCUCGGAAUCACUGGGCGUAAAGGGCGCGUAGGCGGUAGCACAAGUCAGUUGUGAAAUCUCCGGGCUUAACUCAGAAAGGUCAACUGAUACUGUGCGACUAGAGUGCAGAAGGGGCAACUGGAAUUCUCGGUGUAGCGGUGAAAUGCGUAGAUAUCGAGAGGAACACCUGCGGCGAAGGCGGGUUGCUGGGCUGACACUGACGCUGAGGCGCGAAAGCCAGGGGAGCGAACGGG